rnacentral:rRNA from 1 species
UACUCUGGCCAUACCACCCUGAAUGUGCCCAGUCUCAUCUGAUCUCAAAAGAUAAGCAGGGUCAGGCUUCGCUAGUACUUGAAUGGGACACUUACCCAGUGGUUUCCCACUGGAGAUUUAGAGGCCCCCAUUAUGA